rfam:Monosiga brevicollis MX1 MONBRscaffold_4 genomic scaffold, whole genome shotgun sequence.
GGCGCCUUAGCUCAGUGGUAGAGCGUUGGUCUCGUAAACCAAAGGCCACGAGUUCGAUCCUCGUAGGUGCCU